UGACAGUUCGCUUACUUCAAUCCGGUUA
rnacentral:sRNA from 1 species